AUGCAAACCUUCCUUAUUAUGCCUCUAAAAAAAAAUCACUAUUGUUCUAAGAGGAGAGCUGGGAAGAGGUUGCAGCAUCCGCUGGGCACUGAAGACGCAGCUUGUGAAGUUCCAGAAACGGAAGACAGAAGACGUUCAAACCUGUUCUCUUGUCCUGACUGUGGAAUUCUUUCUUCUGAGGAAACAAGAAUUGAGGUUGCUGCCUACCCGCAUGGAUUCUCCGCUGCUAACAGUUCCAUCAUGGUGACCCAGACUGUGAAUAUUUGGCUAUACUCAGUGAGACAAGGUUAUACUUGGUAAGUCCUACAUACGAGAUCUCUGGUUUUCUUUCUGGAAGCCUGAGGAAACGGCAUGUGACCUCCACCCCGGCUGUUACUGUUAAACCCAUUAUAACUUGCUGACUCACUGUUGCCCUUCUCUGAGUAGACCCCGGCCAUCCUAGGGCCUGCAGGAGGCUGGGAUGGCAACUCCCCUCUCUGCCAUCAGCAUGUCCUGCACCCUGCUGGGAGUAGCAAGAGCUAUAAACCUUUACACUCUCUUGGGUUUGCAGACUCAUUACUUGCCCACCGGAAGUGAAAACUAAGGGACGUUGCAGUAAAGCUGCUUUCAUAUUUAUCUAUAGCUGGUGUCUUUAAUUUGCCUGUAAAGGACAACUUGGCUAGAGGAAAAAAACAUGUUCUCAGCUUUAUCUUUGUGACUAGGAAAUAAGUCUAACCAGAUGAACACACUCGACACGAAACUGAUUCUGCUGUUUGUUCUAUCCUGUCACUCUGUCUGUGUCACUCUAACUAUAGUGGCCUGCUCACACAUCACGCCUUAGGCAUUUCAGAAAAUAUCAGCCCUGGGCCAUGGCCAUGAUUCAGAUAUUUGCCCAGCCUUCCUCUCUGUGCAUACCCCAUCCAUUACCGAAUAGCGCGUGUCCCUGGACAGCCUCACCGCAUACUCAGCGCCUGAUGGCGGCCUCAGGUUUGUCUCCUUGCUUUGAUCACCAGGCUUUCUUCUCUGGAUUAUCAGGUUUGACCCUUUUUCUACCUGUGUCUCUGCUUGACUUAGGUCUUAUAAAUCUCUGGGUUACAGCAUUUGUACAGCUCUAAGAGGCGUAAGAGAUACACCUUCUGUUAUCUUUGCUUUCAUGGGACCCCUCAGGAUGUUAUACCUGAGACCCUCAAGACCUUAGUUCCCUGCCUGUCGCUUAAUUGGGAUAAUCAUUCUGCCUAGGUCACAUCAUUCACAGCACAGCCAUAUUAUUCACGUGUCCCAGACCUCACCAUUCUGGGAGUACCACAUAUAGUCAUAGUUCUUGUCCAGAAGAGCAGUCAGUUCAGUCUUUUCUCCUCGUUCUCUACCUCUCCCCAAAAAUGCCUGAGUUACCUCCCUUGUCUGCAUAUUGGCCUCCAUAAAGCUGCCUCCUGAAAAGAAAAUAGGAACUCUGAUGAGUACUUUCAAGCCAAUCUCCACAUCUGCCGAUUUCUAGACUGACCAGAGAGCCUCGCUGCCACAGCCAAAGUGGAUGCCUGGUCUCCUGCUGAUACCUGCACAGUCUAGGAAGGCCAAAAAGGAAAAAAGAACUCUCAUUUUUUUUUUUUUUGAGAUGGAGUUUCAUUCUUGUCACCCAGGUUGGAGUUUAGUGACACAAUCUUGGCUCACUGCAACCUCCAUCUCCCCAGUUCAAGCGAUUCUCCAGCCUCAGCCUCCCGAGUAGCUGGGACUACAGGCGCCUGCCACCACACCCAGCUAAUUUUUGUAUUGUCAGUAGAGAUGGAGUUUCACCACGUUGGCCAGGCUGGUCUCCAACUCCUGACCUCAGGUGAUCUUCCCACCUCGGUCUCUCAAAGUGUUGGGAUUACAGGCAUGAGCCACGGUGCCUGGCCAGAAUUCUAACUUUUUAAAAUUAAAUUAUUAUGACCAUACCCACUUGCUGCUCUUUGAUUUUUCCAGACCCACUUGUGGUUUUAUCUUCCCCCUUCUCACAGAUCAGGAUGGACAAUGACAGAGAAAGUUCUCCCAGAUAAGCCUCAGCCAGGCUGAGUACCCAACCACUCCAGGCAAAGCAACUGCUCUGAGCUGCCAGAUAACCCAAUGCUGAGGGCUGUCAGCAUGUCUAGAUCUCCAUGGAUCUCCUGUUCCCCAAAUCCCUGCUGUGUACUCCACCCACCUCCUGCAACACCACCUGUUACCCUGGCUGGAUUGUUCUGACAGCAAAUGCCAGGUCCCUAGUGCUCACUGCAUCCCCUGUGGUCAUGGAGAUUUCCCUCCUUGGCCACUUCUUGCCACAUCUGCCGCUGGGGCUGCCACUAAGUAUCUGGUCACUACUGUGAUUUGGGUCUGGUCUUUCCAAGUACCCUUCCAUCAAAUGCCUUCUGAGCACCCCUUCCAACAGUGUGCUGGGGUAAACAACAGCACAGAUGGAAGAGAAGAACAUGCUCAAGCAGAAGCAACCACUGAGAGGUGCCAGGGGAGAGCAGAGCAAAUUUACCAGAUAACCCUGGUUCCUGACGACCUUUCUGUGCCCUUUUCUAUCAUCACUAAUUCACUGAGCCUGGAACACAGUGACUCAAGCCCCAGUGUGGGACUGAAAAUAGAAAGGCCAAUUCAGAUUUCCCUACCCUAAGAUGACUUACCAUACAAAACCUUUUAAAAAUGUAAGCAUGGGGUUCUUUGAUAUUCCUAGAACAAGGUGGAUUCAGCAGAUAUUUAAAACAUAAUUUAAUUCGCCAAAAACUAGACAGUUUUAAAAGGAGUUUGAUUACUAUAUAAGUUACUAGCUAACUAUUAUUAUUUAAUAAGCUGUUAGGUUAGUACUAACCUAAUUUGUUGGAGGGCAAAGUUGCAACAGCUUGUAAAAUAAGUAAAUACUGCUGAACGUUUAGUGAGCUGAACUGAACGUUCCCUCUGCUAACUUAGCCAGUUAAGGUAUAGGUUACACAAGGUCAUUUUUAAUGUGUCAGCUAUAUAGAUCUAUAAAACCAUUUCAGCAGUUGCUGGGCCAGAGAAGAGACACAUCUUUAUUUCUUUGGACUCUGAGGCAUAGACAAAAAUCCAAAGGCCAGGUAUCUCUAAGUGUAACUUCCAGUGUGUCUUCUCUUUUUGAGACACCCUAGGAGGAACAGCUAAGCAAUAGGGUAAUGCCACACUGGCCCCUGUGCACUCAAGACUUUGUGUGAUCCUGGUUCUAUGACCUGGCACUCCUAUAGAUUCUAACUAUCUCUUGCCUGGCACAGUGCCUCCCAGGAACUGCCCCUGCUCUGAAGAUACACAGUUCUUAUACUGAGUGCCUGUAGGCUUCAUUUUCUGAACUAUUUGACCUCACCUACUUUAUCUCUGUACCUCACCCUCGUUCUCCUGAUCCCUUUUGCCUCCACCCUGGAUGCCCUUACAUUGUUAUUUUGUUUUGCUCCUUCAGCUCACAUCCUGGGGACACAAAACAGCAUUUUGAUUCCAAUUCCACCACUUAAUCAUUCUUGUCAAUUUACCCUCUCUCAGCCUUACUUUUUUCCUCUAUAAUAAUAAUAAUGUGUCUUCUCAUAUGGUUAUUAUGAAGGUGAAAGGGGGCAAAGCAAAGCACCUGGCACACAGCAGCCACAUGAUCGAUGUUAGCUAGUGUUGCUAUUAGUUUGCUUUCCUGAGGUGGCUACAGUUUCAGUCAUUCUUCAAGUCUCUUGUUUAGCUUACAUUCACAGAUUGCUUUGGCAGACUCUUUCUAGGGUAAUGUACAACUGAGUAGUCCUGAUCCUGCCUUCCACACCUUUUCAUAUCCAGUCUUAUCUUUGUAGCUUAGGCCAGACACAGGGCUCCUUACAAUAAAGGUAGAAGGCAGAACAUGUUCUUGUAAGUUCUCAUGUGCAC
rnacentral:lncRNA from 1 species